rnacentral:rRNA from 1 species
UACAGAGGCCCCAAGCGUUACUGAGAAUCACUGGGUUUAAAGGGUGCGUAGGUGGCGCGUUAAGUCCGUUGUGAAAUCCCUGGGCUCAACCCAGGAAUUGCUUCGGAUACUGGCGUGCUUGAGGCCGGUAGGGGUCACUGGAACUGACGGUGGAGCGGUGAAAUGCGUAGAUAUCGGGAGGAACACCUGUGGCGAAAGCGGCUCACUGGACCACAACUGACGCUGAGGCGCGAAAGCUAGGGGAGCAAACAGG